rnacentral:lncRNA from 1 species
AUGGCACACUCAGCAAACAAUAUGAGACCCAGCGAUGUUGCCACAACGCUGGGUCUCGUAUUGUUUGCCGAAUCUUUUAGGUACUUCCCCGGUUUUUGUAUUUCACCUCGAAUUUAACGGUUUUGUUUCAGCGGUUGUUAUUUUAAUUCUUGUGAAUAGUAAGGGCGGACGUAAAACAGUGAUUUUAGGCGCAAGGAUAAAUAUUAGGUACCUAUGGAAAAUAGAUCGAAAAAAAUUUUGGAACUCGCGUUGGACGAAAAUAAUAACAAAAAAGAUUAUUCAAAUUUCAUUAAGAUGGGAAAAUCUUAUUUUGGGCCGCCUAGCCAAACAAAACAAAAUGCGAAGAAAAAAACUGAGCUUUUAAAGCCCAAUGUAAAGAUCUUAUCGAACGUUAACCUUAAAGAAAAAAUUGGUAACUACUUGCAAACUAUACCAACUCCCUUUUUUUUGAAUGUCAAGAAAAUAAAAUAGAUGAAUCAACAUUAUCUGAAAGUAAAAAUAACGUAGAGACUCCAUUUAAUAAGUAUGAUAAAGAAAAAAAACAGGACCAUUUAAAGCCC